GGAGGUAGUGACAAUAAAUCACAAUGCGGAACUUCUGUUUUGCAAUUGGAUUGAGAACAACGCACAACAUUUAUCGAUAAACAAUUGGAGGGUAAGUCUGGUGCCAGCAGCCGCGGUAAUUCCAGCUCCAAUAGCGUAUAUUAGCGUUGUUGCAGUUAAAAAGCUCGUAGUUGAAGUGAAGUGUGAAUCUCUUGGAUUUUCGUUUGAAUUUCCUUUAGCUUCAUACUCUUUCCAAAUAGUUUGCAUGGGUAUUUACUUAUCUGUGUAUUGCAUUUGGUCAUUUACUGUGAGAAAAUUAGAGUGUUCAAAGCAUACGUUUGUUUGAAUACAUUAGCAUGGAAUAAUUCGAAAAGGCUUUCAUGUUCGAUUUGAUUGGUUUGUUCGUGAAGGCAAGAUUAAAAGGGACAGUUGGGGGUAUUCAUAUUCAAUAGUCAGAGGUGAAAUUCUCGGAUUUAUGGAAGAUGAACAAGUGCGAAAGCA
rnacentral:rRNA from 1 species